ACCCCACAGGUAGCGAGGACACGCCGCACGGCCUCCAGGCCCAGAGCCAGAGCUGCAGUCCAGAGGACCCCAGGAGACCCACAGGCACAUCUCCCCUGGGGUACCCUGUGGCUCCCAGAGUCGGAGCAUGAACCUCAGGGAAGGCAGCACACUGCCCUGGGCCCGGGGGCCAGCGAAGCAAAUGCCCACGGCUGACAGUCUGCGUGCUUCCGCUCCUGAGAACAUGCUGAGGGCUCGCAGGAAAACCGCUCGAGGUUAUGACUCAGCUGCUGGCUGCUGGCUCGCUCCCUGGCUGAAGCCCUGUCGCUGCCCGCCGGAGCACACGUGUGUCCCAGCAGCUCUGCAGGUGCCAGGGAGCGCCCCUCUAAAAGAAGCCAGCACUUUCAAAAGGGCUCGUCAACUCGUUAUGCCGCUAAGACAUCUUCAAGGAGCCAACUUCCUCCUCCUCAGUCCAGCAAACUCCCGGCAGGCCUGGUGAGCAGCAGCUGUCCGUACACGCGCACCCGGCGGAGGCCGCCUGGGAGCUCUGGAGGGCGAUCUGCGGUCCUGCCCCUCGACAGCCACCACCCCCGGAAACGUGCCGCAUGGGCGCCGGCAAGGGGCCCCUGGUCCCGGCUCUCCUGGGAAGGUGCCCGGGAGGGGGCCCUGGUCCCGGCUCUCCCGGGAAGGUGCCCGGGAGGGGGCCCUGGUCCCGGCUCUCCCGGGAAGGUGCCCGGGUGGGGGCCCUGGUCCCAGCUCUCCUGGGAAGGUGCCCGGGAGGGGGCCCUGGUCCCAGCUCUCCUGGGAAGGUGCCCGGGAGGGGGCCCUGGUCCCCGCUCUGCU